ensembl:lncRNA novel transcript
CGGAUGUACCACAACACACUUUCUGAGGCAGAACGUAAAAGGUAGAGCCACGUUUGGUAUCCGAGGUAUCCUAACAUCUUAACAGUCUCUUUGCUGGAAAGAAAUCUUCAGUGGCUCCCAUUACCUACGGAUCCAGCCUGGCUUUUUAGUCCAGCAUUCAAGACCUGUCAAGCUCUUCUGCAUCCUCUCGUAUGCAUGUGAUAGACAGGCACUCCACCUAGCGAAGUACAACCAUCCCAAACUUAUUCCUAUUACUUUUCUUCCAUUCAUUCGUUCAUACAAUCAAUCAGUCAUCAUUGAGGAUUUAUUAGACGAUAGGUUCUGGAGACAAAAAGGUAGAUAAAUACGACGCAGUCUUUGCUUUUGAGGACUGUAUCCCAGAUACAUCUGACUGGUUGUUCCUGCUGAAACAUUUUUCCACCUCCAUGCUUUUGCAUACACUACUUUCUCCACCUGGAAGACCCUCUCUGCAUUUCUGAACAUGCACUUUUAUUAACUGUCCACAGCUGCAGUGAGGCCUUCUUCAUGAAGCCUCUCCCAGUUCUCCGCCUCACCCCACCAAGCUGGAACUGAUCGCAGCCUCCAAACUCCCACAGCAAUCCUUUGCCUCCUCUUCUGACGCUACUCUUUCUCUCUUGGAUGAAAGCCGUGUGUAUCCAUGUUGGUUCUCCACUUCUAGAACCUGUCGUUUUGGGGCUGCAGGACUUGGUGGAUUCACACUGGCAUCCCCUCAGGAAGCAGGUGAGCAGGAAGUGACUGUUGGAUGCACGAGAAAGCAAGGGAACCACAGAGGUGGGAAAAUGCUGUCUCUUUUUCAUUGUUAAGUCACUACUUUAGGCACAAGAGUGUAACUAAGUCCUUUCCAAAUGGAAAAUGGCUACUUUAGAGCCACGUGGACUCCUCACAAAUUACAUGUUGUGUCUUCUGUUCCUCUUUAAAAUAUUUUUCACAGGUAGCUUCAUUAAAAUGACGAUCACUUCUGGGAGCAAAUUAAUAAAUUCAAACAUAGACUAUUAGAAUUUGAAGGGACCUGCAAGACCCUUCUCUCUUUAGCUCUCAAUUUUAGAUCUAAGAAAACUGGGUCAAGAGAGGCAAAAAUAACUUACUCAAAUUCCCUGUGAGUGCUUGUGGUAUAUUGUACAAUACACCAUAAUAAUUGUUUAUAAUAAUUUAGUGAUUCAUUCAACUACUCUGCAAGUCAACUCUGUGUCAGGCAAAAGGUGAUUCUAAACCAUUGAGAAAAAGAUAAAAUAUAUUGGUUAUUGAGGAGUAGUUUAACUUUUUAGAAAUGCUUUCAUCAACAGUAGCAAAAAGGAAAGCAAAUAAAAGCUCAUAUAAGGUAAAUUUCAGUUACCUGGAAAAGUUACCUAUGUGAAGUGUUUCAUUUUACAGGUGAACAGAGCAGUGAGACAGGGCCAUAUGACAACCUUUCCUUGUUCGCAGGGGAUAGUUCAGGUUUACUUCUCUUGUAAACUUCUCUCUUCCCACCACAAUUAUUAAUAGUGUGUUCUUUCACUCUCAAAAGUGUUCUGGCUUGGACAAUGGCCAUUCUACGUAUAAAGCUUAGUCGUUUUUUCUUGUAUAGCUAUAAUAUCACUUUUUUUUUCUUUUUUUUCUUUUAUUAUUAUACUUUAAGUUUUAGGGUACACGUGCACAUUGUGCAGGUUAGUUACAUAUGUAUACAUGUGCCAUGCUGGUGCACUGCACCCACUAACUCGUCAUCUAGCAUUAGGUAUAUCUCCCAAUGCUAUCCCUUCCCCUUCCCCCCACCCCACAACAGUCCCCAGAGUGUGAUUUUCCCCUUCCUGUGUCCAUGUGAUCUCAUUGUUCAAUUCCCACCUAUGAGUGAGAAUAUGAGGUGUUUGGUUUUUUGUUCUUGUGAUAGUUUACUGAGAAUGAUGAUUUCCAAUUUCAUCCAUGUCCCUACAAAGAACAUGAACUCAUCAUUUUUUAUGGCUGCAUAGUAUUCCAUGGUGUAUAUGUGCCACAUUUUCUUAAUCCAGUCUAUCAUUGUUGGACAUUUGGGUUGGUUCCAAGUCUUUGCUAUUGUGAAUAGUGCCGCAAUAAACAUACGUGUGCAUGUGU